rnacentral:rRNA from 1 species
GAUGAACGCUGGCGGCGUGCCUAAUACAUGCAAGUCGAGCGAACGGACGAGAAGCUUGCUUCUCUGAUGUUAGCGGCGGACGGGUGAGUAACACGUGGAUAACCUACCUAUAAGACUGGGAUAACUUCGGGAAACCGGAGCUAAUACCGGAUGAUAUUUUGAACCGCAUGGUUCAAAAGUGAUAGACGGUCUUGCUGUCACUUAUAGAUGGAUCCGCGCUGCAUUAGCUAGUUGGUAAGGUAACGGCUUACCAAGGCAACGAUGCAUAGCCGACCUGAGAGGGUGAUCGGCCACACUGGAACUGAUACACGGUCCAGACUCCUACGGGAGGCAGCAGUAGGGAAUCUUCCGCAAUGGGCGAAAGCCUGACGGAGCAACGCCGCGUGAGUGAUGAAGGUCUUCGGAUCGUAAAACUCUGUUAUUAGGGAAGAACAUAUGUGUAAGUAACUGUGCACAUCUUGACGGUACCUAAUCAGAAAGCCACGGCUAACUACGUG